ACAACUAAGAUUAUUCUAGAUCGACAAUCCUUGAUGAGUUAGAGUGAAAUUAUUCCAAUCUAUUGAAAAGAGUUUCAAUGAUACUUUGAUAGAAAUUAUUGAAUAUCUCACUACCAAAUAGAAUUAAAUUUAUGGAGUUACACAACAAAGAGAUUAGGCUUAAAAUUAGCAAUUGGACUUAUGAGGUGUCAAUUGGGUUUAGAGAAGCCCGAUUGGAUUCAAGGUAACUUUGCUAGCACAUGGCUGGACCCAAUUUUUUCUUUACAUUUAAAUUUCUUAUUUGAUAAGAAAAUUUAAAUUUAAUUAUCUGUUAAUAAUCUAAAUAAAUUAAAUUCAAUGAAUUUCAAUUGUUGGGUGUCUAAGACUUUGGAUCAAAUAAAUUAAGGGUGCAAAGUUCUUAAUUUAUUUUCUUGAUAGUUUAGUUGGGGCAUCGCC
rnacentral:lncRNA from 1 species